rnacentral:rRNA from 1 species
CCUACGGGUGGCAGCAGUGAGGAAUAUUGCUCAAUGGACGCAAGCCUGAACCAGCCAUGCCGCGUGCAGGAAGACGGCUCUAUGAGUUGUAAACUGCUUUUGUACGGGGGUAAACGCAGAUACGCGUAACUGUCUGAAAGUAUCGUACGAGUAAGGAUCGCCUAACUCCGGGCCAGCAGCCGCGGUAAUACGUAGGAUUCAAGCGUUAUCCGGAUUUAUUGGGUGUAACGGGUGCGUAGGCGGUCGGAUAAGUUAGAGGUGAAAUCCCGAGGCUCAACUUGGGAAUUGCAUCUGAUACUGUUCGGCUAGAGUGUAGUAGAGGUAGGCAGAAUGUAAGGUGUAGCGGUGAAAUGCUUAGAGAUCA